rnacentral:rRNA from 1 species
AUUGAACGCUGGCGGCAGGCCUAACACAUGCAAGUCGGACGGUAGCACAGAGGAGCUUGCUCCUCGGGUGACGAGUGGCGUACGGGUGAGUAAUGUCUGGGGAUCUGCCCGAUAGAGGGGGAUAACCACUGGAAACGGUGACUAAUACCGCAUAACGUCGCAAGACCAAAGAGGGGGACCUUCGGGCCUCUCACCAUCGGAUGACCCCAGAGGGGAUUAGCUAGUAGGCGGGGUAACGGCCCACCUAGGCGACGAUCCCUAGCUGGUCUGAGAGGAUGACCAGCCACACUGGAACUGAGACACGGUCCUGACUCCUACGGGAGGCAGCAGUGGGGAAUAUUGCACAAUGGGCGCAAGCCUGAUGCAGCCAUGCCGCGUGUAUGAAGAAGGCCUUCGGGUUGUAAAGUACUUUCAGCGGGGAGGAAGGCGAUGUGGUUAAUAACCGCAUUGAUUGACGUUACCCGCAGAAGAAGCACCGGCUAACUCCGUGCCAGCAGCCGCCGUAA